UUUACGGAGAGUUUGAUCCUGGCUCAGGACGAACGCUGGCGGCGUGCCUAAUACAUGCAAGUCGAACGAGGAUCAGGUGCUUGCACCUGGAGCCGAGUGGCGAACGGGUGAGUAACACGUGACCAACCUGCCGUCAGGUGGGGGACAACCUGGGGAAACCCGGGCUAAUACCGCAUGACAUCCGCGUCCCGCAUGGGAUGCGGACCAAAGGGGGCCUCUGCUUGCAAGCUCCCGCCAGGCGAGGGGGUCGCGGCGUAUCAGCUAGUUGGUGAGGUAACGGCUCACCAAGGCGAUGACGCGUAGUGGGUCUGAGAGGACGACCCGCCACAUUGGGACUGAGAUACGGCCCAGACUCCUACGGGAGGCAGCAGUAGGGAAUAUUGCGCAAUGGUCGAAAGACUGACGCAGCGACGCCGCGUGUGGGAGGAAGCCUUUCGGGGUGUAAACCACUGUCAGGUGGGAAGAAACACGCACGUCCAAACAGGGCGUGCGCUUGACGGUACCACCAGAGGAAGCGCCGGCUAACUCCGUGCCAGCAGCCGCGGUAAGACGGAGGGCGCAAGCGUUGUUCGGAAUCACUGGGCGUAAAGCGCUCGCAGGCGGUCCCUUAAGUCCGCCGUGAAACUCCGGGGCUCAACCCCGGACUGGCGGCGGAUACUGGGGGACUGGAGACUGGUAGAGGCUAGCGGAAUUCUUGGUGUAGCGGUGGAAUGCGUAGAUAUCAGGAAGAACACCGGUGGCGAAGGCGGCUAGCUGGGCCAGUUCUGACGCUCAUGAGCGAAAGCGUGGGGAGCAAACAGGAUUAGAUACCCUGGUAGUCCACGCCGUAA
rnacentral:rRNA from 1 species